rnacentral:tRNA from 1 species
UUAAGAAUAAGCUAAUAUCAAGCUGUUGGGUUCAUACCCCAAAUAUAGUUUACCUUUCUUAAA